rnacentral:rRNA from 1 species
GAUGAACGCUAGCGGCAGGCUUAAUACAUGCAAGUCGAGGGGCAGCGCAGUGUAGCAAUACAUGGGCGGCGACCGGCAAACGGGUGCGGAACACGUACAGAACCUUCCUUUAAGCGGGGGUUAGCCCAGAGAAAUUUGGAUUAAUACCCCAUAGUAUUGUUGAGUGGCAUCACUUGAUGAUUAAAGAUUUAUCACUUAAAGAUGGCUGUGAGGCUGAUUAGGUAGUUGGCGGGGUAAUGGCCCGCCAAGCCUACGAUCAGUAACUGGGGUGAGAGCACGACCGGUCUCAAGGGCACUGAGGCGCGGGCCCGACUCAGACGGGAGGCAGCAGUAAGGAAUAUUGGGCAAUGGACGCAAUUCUGAACCAGCCAAGCCGCGUAGAGGAUGAAGGUCCUCUGGAUUGUAAACUUCUUUGAUUUGGGAAGAAACCCGAAUUUUCUAAUUCGGUUGACGGUACCAGAUGAAUAAGCACCGGCUAACUCCGUGCCAGCCGCCGCCGUAAAAC